rnacentral:lncRNA from 1 species
AAGGAUGCAUAUCUUAAGAUAUCCGCAUUCACUUUUUAAUGUAAUAUUCCGGAUCACAGUCUGAUUGAUUUUAAUCCCUGUAGUAUCAUAAGUUCCUUCAUUUUCCACCCUAAAAGGAAGAGAGGAAGAGUAAACUGAUUCUGAAGUGUCAAUAGACGUAGGAUUAAAUAGUCAACUGUAAAGGUGCAUUGCUGUAUCAAUUAAGGUGAUGGGUGUCAUGCUUAUGAGAUCUAUGAAUCAUUAACAGGCUUAUGCUCGAAUCGGAAUGGCCAAGGAGGCUGCUGAUGCUGCUACUCAGGCUAAAGAUAAUGAAUUACUUGGGAGGUUGAAGCAGACUUUUUCUCAAAAUGCAGCCGCUUCAUCAAUAUUUGACACACUGCGAGAUCGGUUAUCCUUCCCAAGUGUUUCUUGAUGCCAGCCAUCUCCUUGAUCCCCUCCCUUUGGUGUGAAGCCUCUUGUUGUUACGCAUCUUCUAAAUUAAUAUGAUUGAGGAUUGGUAGCGUUGGAGUAAUGCUGUUCCACAGCACGAUAAAAGAAGCCCUUGGAACCCGUCCGCUGCAUAUCCUCUCUCCUUACCUGUUUUUUCUAUGUAUCCGUGGCAUUUGAGGUUGUGGAAAUGUUUGAAUCCGGCAAUGAUUCCUUGUGUGUUGUUCUACACCCUGUAAAUAGCUUGGCUGGAAAUGAUAUAUGAAAGCAUGUGCUGAUGUUUCUCCCUGAAUUGGUAAUAGAAUUCAUCUGAGCUCUUAACUUUUCCAUGGUUUGUAGUUUCCAUUUGUAUGCGACUGAGUGAUGAAUUAUCCAUGGCAACUGUUCCAAAAUAAACUCUACUCUACCUGCUGGUAUUAUUGCUCAUUUGGAUUGUUUUUAUCCUCUGUACAUUCCGGAAUACUUUGCUGGUUUGGAGAAUAAUUACUCAGGAACUAGUAAAUUGAGAGAUUUUGGGAGACUUUAUAACAACUUGCUAUUUAAAGCUAGUAUCAAGUGAUUGAUAGUUUGAUACUGAGUGGACAAUUCAUAUUGUGUUUGUGUAUCUGUACUGAGUGAUUUGAUGAGUAUCUAAUUUCUUUGUUUUAAUUUGUGUUUUUGACGCCUCAAUUCACGUAAAUAUAGUUCAUAGUCCCAGCUUAAUACGAGUUCUUUUUCAAGUUUGCAUAUUAGGUUGGAUUGCAUAUGUGAAGUAGUUUGAAAUAUGUAUGGUGGAAGUACUAUUUGAUGGUUAGUAGUAAUGUUGUGUCAUAGGAAUCAGACACCAAUGCUGAUUAUACAACUGGUUAUCUUAAUUAAUUAUCUAGUAUCCUUUUAUAAUAUAUCAGAAAUAUCUUGGGCAAUUGGAAUACCGAGUAUGAGGAAGUGUAAGAGGUUAGCUAUAGUGAGUUCGAGGAGAAGUAGAGGUAGGUUUAUCUAGUCUUUUUUUGAGCAACUUUCAUAUAUAGCAAACACAAAAAUAAUAUUUGUAUGCUAUAGCUAUAGUUUGCAUAAUUGCACUCCAUAGCAAACAUAAAUAUGUAUAUUUUGCUAUACAUAUAUAAAAGAAAGCAGUUGUAUAUAAUAUGUUUUUGUUUCGGUAUAUACAUAUACAAAAUAUCAAUUGUAUAAUUUAUGUUUGUAUAAAGCAAGAAAGAGAGAAAGGCAAAAUAGAAUUGGGCAGGGGAAUAUUUGUAUUGUAUAAUUAUAAGUGUAUAGGACGAAGAUAUAUGUAUUCGCAUGUGUAUAUACAAUUUUCUCUCGCUUUAUACAGAUAUAAACGCAAUUUAUACAUUUCUGUUUGUAUAAGCGAGAUCUGGGAGAGGGGGGAAAGGGGAACGAAAAUAUAUGUAUAUAUACAAUUUUCUCUCGCUUUAUACANNNNNNNNNNNNNNNNNNNNNNNNNNNNNNNNNNNNNNNNNNNNNNNNNNNNNNNNNNNNNNNNNNNNNNNNNNNNNNNNNNNNNNNNNNNNNNNNNNNNNNNNNNNNNNNNNNNNNNNNNNNNNNNNNNNNNNNNNNNNNNNNNNNNNNNNNNNNNNNNNNNNNNNNNNNNNNNNNNNNNNNNNNNNNNNNNNNNNNNNNNNNNNNNNNNNNNNNNNNNNNNNNNNNNNNNNNNNNNNNNNNNNNNNNNNNNNNNNNNNNNNNNNNNNNNNNNNNNNNNNNNNNNNNNNNNNNNNNNNNNNNNNNNNNNNNNNNNNNNNNNNNNNNNNNNNNNNNNNNNNNNNNNNNNNNNNNNNNNNNNNNNNNNNNNNNNNNNNNNNNNNNNNNNNNNNNNNNNNNNNNNNNNNNNNNNNNNNNNNNNNNNNNNNNNNNNNNNNNNNNNNNNNNNNNNNNNNNNNNNNNNNNNNNNNNNNNNNNNNNNNNNNNNNNNNNNNNNNNNNNNNNNNNNNNNNNNNNNNNNNNNNNNNNNNNNNNNNNNNNNNNNNNNNNNNNNNNNNNNNNNNNNNNNNNNNNNNNNNNNNNNNNNNNNNNNNNNNNNNNNNNCACUACAUAGCAAUUUUACGUCCUACAUGUAUUAUGCCAUGUAGGACACGUGUGUCUACUUGUUCAAUUUUAUACAAGUUUAAGUGUCUACUUGUGCAUACUCAAAGUUGGAGGGCAUAGUUGUCCACUGAAGUCAAGUUAAAAGUCAUGUUUAUGUAUUAUGCGUAUUAUGCCCUAUUUCAUUCUCCGUUGUUUUUAGUAUGAAUUUUAUAUUUGCUUUAUAUGCCUGAUUCUUGAUAUGAUUACUUUCUACUAAUGAUUCUCACAAAAAUCUGUUUUUGGGGUGCAAACAAGAGUUUGUUCUCAAAUGAUAUCAGAGGGAUUUGCAUGUAUUGUGGAAAUUUUAUUUUCUCUAUGAUUAAUAUCUUUUCGAAUUUAAAAAGAUUUUCAAAUCUCAUAAUUUACGAUCAAGUUAUUCAACAUUUUUUCUUAGAGAACAAUUUUUCACAUUUAAAUUAUGUAUUAGAUAUACUAAUAUCCUAUUUCGUUCAUCUAAAAAUCUUAAUUUGAAUCAAGGAUUUAUCAAAAAUAUCGUCAAACUAAUACACUAGAAAAUGUGAAUUCAUUAAAAAUGAGGGCGUACCACAUUCGUAGGUACCCUAUUCCACUAAUAAUUUCUUCUCCAUUCAACCAACUAAUUAAAGUCGAACCUUUUUAACUAAUUAAGUUUUAUAUUUGGAAGAAGUCAGAGGUUGUCAAUUCUCUAUAUGUCCCCAUGAUUAACAAAAAACAGUUGACUAGUUUGUUGUUUUACCGCCACUUGAAAAGAAAUUGAUAAUGAAGAAACAUAUUAAAAUCCAAGACAACAAUUGGAUAAUAUAAUACUAUAUAUAUUUUGCGUUUCUCCUUACCUAUUUGUUUGUUUUAAAAAAAUAAUGAUACUAUAUUAAAAAAAAUAAAAAUUUACUGUUAUGCUCUUAUGUUAUGUUUAAGAUAACAAGUUAUAAUUUUAUUUUAUUUUUUUAAAAAAAGAAGACAUUUCCAAUAUUUUACCACUUAAGUCUAUGAUACAUAUUAUCCUUUUUGAAUCCAGGUUCAUACAAAUUUAUCUUUUGAAUUAUGUCAUAGCAAAUUCAAAAACAUGUUUAUCAUGUAAACUUAAGUCAUGAUUUGUAAACUCUUUACUUUCCUCCUAAUUUCUAAUUGGAGAUUUGCUUUAAAAAACGUCUAUAUUCUACACAUAUUUAGAAAUUUGCUAGUCCUGCUUGUCUAGACCUCAUUAACCCGCCUUCCAGGAAAAGCGUCACAUAAUUAAACAUGGCCGCAAAAAUUGAUAUGGUGGGAUUACUACAUGUGAAGGACUUGAAAAGAAACAAAACGUUUACCCACUCAAAGCCAAUAAAGUUAGCCCUUAAGUCAACCUAAUUGAAAGUUCAAGCUCUAACUAAUAGGAGUAACAAAAGUUCUAUACGUUUGACUUGCUUGCUCUUUAUAAUAACAACCUAUCUGUGUAGUUCUAUAAAUAUAAGAGAAACUUUCACAUAUAGCAAACAAAAAAAUCAUAUUUGUAUGCUAUAACAAAGUUUGCAUAAUUGCGCUCUAUAGCAAACAUAUAUAUGUAUAAUUCGCUAUACAUAUAUACAAAAAGAAGACAAUUGUAUAAUUCGUUGGCUCCUCUUCAAAAUUGUAUAAUUACGCUGGCAGACCAUUUAUAUAAAUUGUUGUUAGUCUCUCGUUUGUAUAAAUCGUUGACAAACAUAAAUUAUACAUUAUACAAGCAUAAAACUGGGCAGGGGAAUAUUUUUAUUGUAUAAUUAUAAGUGUAUAGGACGAAUAUAUAUGUAUUUGCAUGUGUAUAUACAAUUUUCUCUCGCUUUAUACAAACAAAAACAUAUAAAUUGUUGUUAGUCUGUCGUUUGUAUAAAUCGUUGACAAACAUAAAUUAUACAUUAUACAAGCAUAAAACUGGGCAGGGGAAUAUUUUUAUUGUAUAAUUAUAAGUGUAUAGGACGAAUAUAUAUGUAUUUGCAUGUGUAUAUACAAUUUUCUCUCGCUUUAUACAAACAGAAACACAAUUUAUACAAUUAUGUUGUAUAAAACGAGAAAAGAGAGAAAGACAAAAGAGAACUGGGCAGGGGAAUAUUUUUAUUGUAUAAUUAUAAGUGUAUAGGACGAAUAUAUAUGUAUUUGCAUGUGUAUAUACAAUUUUCUCUCGCUUUAUACAAACAGAAACGCAAUUUAUACACUUUUGUGUAUAACGCGAGAGAGGCGAGCACAGAGAGAGUGAGCGAGAGAGGAGAGUGGCGAGCGAGAGUUUGAGGGAGAGAGGCGCUGACAAACAGUUUGCUAUAGGACACAAUUAAAUCAAAGUGUGGUUAUACCAUUUAAUUUGAAUUAAUAGUUUGCCAUUAUGUACAAUUAACAACAAAAUACUUAGUGAAAUCUCGCCAAAUAAAAUUUGGAAAGGAUAGAGUGUACGCAGAUUUUAUCACCAUCUCGUGUAGUUAGAGAGGUUGUUUCCAAAAGACUUUAGGCUGAAGUGCAUUAAAUUCGAGCAAAAGAAGAAAAAUAAAAUGAAGAAAGUAUAGUUGUUAAUAAGAAAAACAGUGCAAAGUCUACCAGAAAAAAAAUAAUAACAACAACAAAAUAGUGCGAUACUCGAAACACAAUAACCAAUAUAUAUAUGACAAAAAUUAGCUAGUAUUACGGCCGGCGCUAAUUAACAAGCCUAAACCUACGCACGACAAAACAACACUCUAAUACUACUAAUCUUCUAUACCCAGAUGCGGAGCCAGGAUUAAGAGUUUGGGGGUUCUAACUUUUAGAACAUAAGAAAAAGGUGUUCGAACCGACAACAAAUGUGUGGAAAGCAUUUUCACCGACUGCUAAUCAAUUUUCUAGGGGGUUCACAAGUUAAUACACACACACACACUAUAUAUAUAUAUUAUUUUUUAUUUUUUAUUUUUUAUUUUUUUUAAUACAAAUACAAACUUUACGGGAAAUCUAGUGGGUUCGUCCGAACCCACGAACCCACGCCUAGCUCUGCCUCUACUUCUACCCUAAUAUAUAUGCGACCUUCACUCCCUCCUAUCUAGAAUCAUGUAUAGUUCUAUAAUUAAGGUUAAAAAAGAAUGAGAUAUACAUCGAUCUUACAUAUACUUUUAUGAAAUUAAGAGGUUGUUUCAAACAAGUUUAAAAGAAAUAUAAGAGUCAAAAACAAUGGAAAACAAAAUAGGACGAGAGAAAGUUGCUCGGAUGGAAAGCACCCCUCACUUUCAACUCAAAGAUUGCGAGUUCGAGUCACCAAGGGAGCAAAAGGGGUGAGAGCUCCUAGGGAGGGUAAAAAGAAAAAAAAAGACUUUGCUUGACUCUUUAUUUGUUCUAAUUAAGGAUGAUUAAUUUUUCAUUUAAUUUUUGUUGGGCAAGUCCACAUCCCUUCUAGUAGAAAAAAACACUCAACAACUUUGCAUGUCCAGACACAAUAUUAUUAAAUAUUAAUGGUGAGAAAAUGAUCUCCUUCACAACUGCCACCACAGAAAAAAGUCGUCGUGGACAUGAGAAAACUUAGAAAAAGUAGAGAAGAGUUAUAAAAAAUUAAAUAUACUCUUUAACUUUUUUCUGUUUCGGUAAGGUAUAAGUAUAUACUGAAGCUCUAAUUAAUUAAUUUGAAUUGGCAUUGCGUAAGGCUCAUCUAAAGAUGAAGUGCUCCCUAAUAAAAGAAAUCUCUUAUCUAAAACUUGAACCCGACAACUCUGAUUAAGGAUAAAAGAUCCAUACUCCUUAUUUUUCUACAAUUUAAGAGAAGUCGGCAUGGGUGACUCUUUACCGCUAGCCAGGAAGGUGUCAUGUUAGAAAUAUUUUGCAUCUUUUAAUUAAUUUUUCAUUUAACUACUGAUUAAUUUGUCCUAAGUACUAAUUAACGAGACAAAUUGUCACUAGUUAUGCAAUUAAUUGACAAAGUCCUUUUGAUUGUGAUAUACUCAUUCACCUUUAAUGACGUAAUGCCAUGAGUACGACUGUCUGAAUAUUCGUGGAAACAAAUAAUGUAAGAUUUUUCCAAUUGAUUUGAGUAUAAAUACAUGACCAAAUCAAUUAAAAUUGUAACCUCACAAGUCACAACCUUAGAAGUGUCGAAGUUUUAAGAAAGAGAGAAACAAUGAAGGUACUAUUUGUACUUUUAUAUAUAUUUUCUUUAUAAGAUUAUAAGUCGAUCAAAUUCACUUAUAAGUAUAUCAAAUGUGCUUACGAGUAAAAAUCAAUCAAAAAUCACAAUUUUGUUAUUUUUGGCUUAUGAUUUUACAACUUGCAAGCACUUUUAAUUUGAUAUCAACUCUUCUAAUUAUCUCUCUAUUUUGUUUCGUCCAUAAAAUUUAUUUAAAUUUAUAUUAUUAUUUUUGAAUAGCUUUAAGGAUAUCUUAGUCAUCUUAACAGAUUUAAGUGUUUAGCAACACCUUUUAACCAAACACACUAACAAGUUUAUUAUAUCUACAACUAUUCUACACCUUUUUCUAAACAUGCAACUAUUUAUUUAUAAAAUCGAUUUCUAACACCUGAAAAUGCUUUUCAGUGCUAUGUUUUUAUGUGUAUCCAUUAUUUUUAAUCAGCUAACUAACCCAAACCAACCAAUGAUUAAUUAGUAUAAUUAUUGAUAAUUUAUAAUUAAAUGCAGCUAAAGGUAGUUGUUGAUGUGUCUGUGAAUGGAUGUCAACCUCGACCAAAUUUGAAGAAUUGUAUUUUAGGAUGGUUGAAGCCAAUGGUACCAUGCUUAUUUAAACAAACUACUUGCAAAAAUAAAGUCAUGACAAUAGCAGCAACUUUACCAGGUACGUAUAACAAUAUUAUAUACUAUAUUAUUAGUAUCAAAACCUUUAUACAUAUGUAGAUUAUUGUAUAAUAAGUAUACAUAAUUUAUUAUAACAUUGUAUACAUGUUUUGUAAACUAGACAGUUGGAACACAUUUUUUUUCAUGUGUCACUUAACAUUAGAGAACUCGCUCUUUUUUAUUUUAAAGUCAAAGAACUAUUAUUAUAUCACAUUGUUAUAGUGGAUAAAAUUUAGUAAUCAUACGAUACGAUGAAAUAAAUGGUGUGAUAGAUAUAAUUAACUAGACAUGACAUGAUUUAUUCAUGUUUGCAGGAGUGGAGAAAGUAAGUUUAGAAGAAGAAAAGAACUUGCUGACAGUGAUAGGAGAGGGAAUAGAUGCAGUGGAGCUGGUUAAUAUAAUUAGGAAAAAAGUGGGAUUUGCUAAAAUAGUGAACCAAGGUCCAGAGCCAGUUGAGAAAAAAGAAGAAAAGAAAAAAGAUGAUCCAAUAGUGGUUAAUUCAUGUAAUUGUCAUAGUAAUUAUAAUAAUAGCAUAAUUCCUAGGGUUGAAAUGUGGGAAGUUAAUCCUUAUAAUAACUACUCAUGUUUUCCAUUUUGAUGAUGAGACUUCUUUGAGGAAAAAUAAGAAGAAUUAUCAUAUUCUUUUUGUUUCAUUUCAUGUAAUACAAUAUUAUUAUUUGGAGAGUCAAACAAAUUUUCUGUUCAUGGUGUUUCAUUAUCUCAUUAGAAUUAAUUAAUAUGAUAAGGAUUAGUUUCUUUUGUUUGUACUUAUUCAUGUUGAGAAUUUGUAUUUUUAUUAUUAAGGAAAGGUUGUAGUUUAAUUAGUGGUAAGAAAAUAACAACUUAUACUUCCUCCAUCCCAAUUUAUAAGUUAUCAGAAAAAAAGAAAAAACUUUUGAAAUUUAAAUAGUCUCAAACAAGUCAUUAAUGUUUGAAAAGUGUCAUCUCUAGAAUGGACUGAAAAGAAAGUGACAUAUAAUUAAGAUUAAAAAAUAUACCUUUUAUAUAAUUUCUAAAUACAUAAAUUUUACUUUAAAAUAAUCUUAAAAUUUGAUGUUUAAAUUCACACCAAAAAUAAAUUUGUUCAUUGCUCUGAAUUGCAUCACAUAAAUAUAUUAAAGUGGAAGGGGCGGAGUAGUAUAUUAUAUCAUUAAUAAAUUUGUAUCGGCUUUGUACGAUCAUAAAAAGUAUAUAAUUUUGAUGACUUGAGAAACUCUGUGGAUGGAUAAGAGUACACAGAUAUUUUUGUUUUGUUAGACAAUUUUAUGGUGUGGGAGUUGCACUUCCAAAAUCCUAAUAAUUAAAAAUUGUUAAUAUUAUUCUUUUUAAAUUAAAAAUAAAGAUAAUAGUGACAUAUAAAAUAUAAAAUGAAAAUGAGAAAAGUAUUAGUCUUCUCUAGGAGAGUCAUGUCAAUUUUGUGUUAACAUAUGACAAAUUAUAUAAUUAUUAUUUAGCCUACGAGUCAUCUUUGAAUUAUUCAAACGGGGUCUUAAUUUUAGGACCAUUAGAUAUUUAUUUAGGAAGUCUCAUAAGUAGAAAGAUAAUAUACUUUUUCCGUUUAUUUUUAAUUAAAAAUAUAUAUUUAUUUUUACUUAUUUGGUUUAAAAAAUCAAAAUGUAAUUUACUAUUUUAUACUUAUUUUAUCUUUGUUAUUAUGUACUCCUAUUAGGUAUAUGGCAAAGUCGAAUUGUAACUUUUUUUCACAUCAAUAAUUAAUGAAGACAAAGUUUAAUGGGAAAAAAAGUAUAUCCGUUCACAUUUAAAUGACGUACAACAUGAACGGAGGGAAUAUUUGAUAAGGAAAAGAAGAAGAAAACCUAAUUAAUACGUAAAAUUUUGUGUUUGAAAACUUCCCUUUUUUGUUUACUUUUCAAAAAAUCAUGGUUACUAAUCUUCAGGUAAAUUUCCAAGUAUUUAUAAUCCAAUCUUUCAGUAAAAUUACCAUGAAAUUAUUGACUUGACUUUACAAUUAAUAUAUGUGAGAAAGUAGUUUUACAAUCUUGAUUCGACGUAAUUUAUGAUUUUGUCUACACAAUUUUAGAAUUUUGUGGAAGAAGAAGAACUUAAGCAUCCAAAAAAAAAGAGAUCAAAUUGACACUCAUCACCAGGUAUGUAAUAGGAAAAAUUACAAAAGUAUACUACUUAAGACUUCUAUUAACAAAAUAUCAAUAUACUAUAUUUAAUUACAAACUAAGUUUUUAAAUUACAUACAUAACAAAACAUUUAAUUUUUUAUUUUACUUAAAAAAAAAAUUACCGAAUUUUCUCUCUCUGACUCUUAGUAGUUUGUGUCAUAUUAUGUGGAGUGUAAUUAGGUAUUUAAUUUUACCAUAUAUUCUCUCUCAUUAAACAGACUCACAUCCACAUGUUUGUUUAUUCCUCUUUUAUUUCCUUUUUUAUGUUUUGUAGUAAUUUAUUGGGAUUUCUUUUAUAUAAAGAUUUGUGGUAGCAAUAAAGUUGUUACAGUACUAUAAUUGAGGUAUAGUUCCAAGAAAUAUUACAAAACCCUUUUCACACGUUUCAUUAUUUUUUUAUUUUCCUUUUUACGUUUUGUAGUCAUUUUCUCUGUCCAUAUUGAUUUAUUCCUUUUAUUUAAAGAUUUUUAUGAUACCAAUAAAAUUAGUACAAUUAUCUAUAAUUGAGUUAUUUCCAAGAUAUAUUAGGAUUCCUUUUUUCAACGGUAUAUUGAGAUAAUCCUUCAAUUUUAUUCAUCCAUAUCUCUUAAACCUUACAUCUUCUUCACUUAAUCGCUUGUCAUUCCAAUUAACCAGAGGCCUCACCAUAAUUUCUAACGCCUAACUAUCCAUCUUCUUCUUAUCAGAUUCUAACGCCUAACAAAUUUUUUACUUGAACAGAAUAUGUUAAUUCUGGUAAUAGUCCAAACCAAAAUAUUAACUUUUUAUAGUUUUUUUUACAAUUCACCGUUAUAGGUUGGUAUAUAAUUCAAACUAUUUGAAUUACUUUAUACAACCAUUAUUAUGUCAAUUGGUUUUAGUAUUACUCAAAUAUUAUACCAAAUCUAUUUUAUUUGUGCUUAUUUGUUUUCAUUCAAUGUUUUAGUUUGCUAUAUAUACCAUUAAGUUUACCAAGUUUUGUGUAGUUUUUAUUAUAAGAAAACCAUUUUUUUUACAUUAACAGAGUGAGUUUUUUUUCUGGUAUCAUUCAAACCAUGAUUUUAACUUUAAGUAGUUUUUUCAAAUUUAUUGUCUUAGGUUGCUAUAUAAUGCAAACAUAUGAUCCCUACAUACGACCAUUAUUAUGUUCCUAUAUGUUUACCAAUUUUCGUUCCUAUUUUAUCCUAAGUUCACCAAAUUUUUCCUUUAACAGAUUGUAUUUAUUAUGGUUCCAGAUUAAACCAAUGUAUUAACACACAUCAUUUUUUCAAUAGUCCUAUAUUUUUCAAAUAAUUGGUUUAAUCAACUUUUUACAUUAACAUAGUCUAUUAUUUCUGGUAACCAAGUUCUUCACAUUAACUAGUUUUGAAUUAUUUUUAUUUUAGGCUGGAAUUAUACCAACCUCACUUGCUCAUUCACAACACGAUUAUUAAAUGAGUUCAUGAUAGCCAUUAAUAACAAUUACGAAUUCAAUAAUAUUAAUAAGAUACCAAAUAGGAAUCAACUUUCAAAUAAGGCUUCAUUGAGUUCAACUGUAUAAUCAAAUAAAUGAGUUCAACCGCAUAACUUUCUGCAAAGUAAAAAUAACAAUAAAAAUACUAUAACGCUAAUUCUUAUGUGAUUUGUUUGGGCAAGUCUUCUUGUUAUGCCCAGAUAAAUCGCAUUCACUAGAGGUGACUUUUCUUUUCUUCCCCUUUCUUUCGAUGAAUUCCUUUUUGCGAUCAUUUUUUGGUGGUCUGCUUAGUUGCUUUCUUGCAAUUGGUGGUAACAUUACCUCUUUCAAAACAUGUGAUGGAACAUCCCAAGUGCUUUCGCAAGGCAAGGGUUCUAUUGAUAUUGCAUAUAUAUCCUGAUAAUCCUUAUUAUUGUAAUAAGCUGAAUAGUAGUCAUCGCAAUAUUUAUUCCUAUAUCUGAUAGCAGCAAUUGCAUGACUACAAGGGAUCUCAUCAUGUUGAAAUCUGCCACAACGGCACAUACCAAUAUUCAGACAUACUGUAAACCUCUUUGCACCAUCUAUAAAUGUAUGAAGGUAUUCUAUUGAUGAGCAUACCUUAAAUUUAAAACAUACAUUAUCAAUAAUAAUACCAAAACAUACUAUGUAUAAUAUAGUAUUGUUAAUACUUACUAUGUAUUGAAUUACAAACUCUUAAUAAUUUGCUUACUACAUCCAUAUAUUUAAACAUCUUGGUAGUUACAUUGGUAAUUGAUGACACACAACUAAGUUUUGUUUUUGAUACACUCUAGUAAGUAACUAACUUUUUCACCAAUUACUGUACUAAUAAUAAAUUGGCAUACUUGUGGUAAUUCACACUAACAGGUAUACCAAAUAAUUUAUUAUACCAAUAAACAUAUCAUAAGUAUUCUGACCUUUAAGGUAUUACAAUUUAGACCAAAAAAUACAUCAACACAUACCACCAAUUCAUAGAAUCAACUAUUCGAGCAUAAAUACCAGAUCACAUACCAAUCAACAUAUUAUCAAUUUUUCAAUUUAUUAUAUACACCAAUUCAUAAAAUACACCAAAAAUGUAUCAAUAUAUUAUCAAUUUUUCAAUUUAUUAUAUAUACCAGUUUAGUUAAUUAAAAUACACCAAAAAUGUACCAAUAUAUUAUCAAUUUUUCAAUUUAUUAUAUACACCAAUUCAGAUAAUCAAAAUAAACCAAAUAAUGUACCAAAAUAUUAUUUUAUUGUUGUAUUUUAUAUAGCAAAUAAUACAACAAAAUACACAUAUACAUGCACCUACAAUCUUACUUGCAGUUGGUAUGUGUAACACCAUAUCACAUAUCAAAAGUAACUAUUGAUACAAUCUGUUAACAUACUCCAUUCAACAGACCAAUUAAAACACAUAAUUUAUGAUGUUAUUUUAAGUUGUUGCAUUAAUCAAUUAAACCUAAAAUUUUAAAAAAAAAUCUUAUUCGACACAUCAGAUUACAAUAAAAAUCAUAUGAAGUUAUUGUAAUUACACCAAAAUCGUUAACAUAAAACAGCGAAUCAAUACCAAAAGAAUAAAAACCCAGUUGUUGUGAAAAACUCAAUAUUAUUCCACAAACAAUUGAUAAAUUUUAAUAUUUAUUUAAUAAUUAAACCAGCAUAUUGAUGCUCCAGAACAUCAAACAAAUCAUAUGAAUUUACAUUCCACCAAAAUCGACAAAAUAAACCAAAAGAAUAACUACAAAAAAGAUUAAAAUCGAUAUGUUGUGAAAAAAUCAAAUACAACCACGAAAAAACCCACCAUAUGAACUACUUUUUAUCAAUUACCUGAUGAGUCUCAUCGCCCGCUGUGUUGAAUUAGAAUUAAAAAAUUAUUGGUAUGCAUUUUGGAUCGUCGAACUUAGUAGAGAAGAAGAGUUUUAUUUUUGUAUGAAACCUCUCUUCAUGGGAGAUAAUAUAACAAAUUGGAGUAAAUCAAGGAAAGUAAAAUAAUUGGAGAAAUUUAAGGGAUACGUGAUAUUUGUGGUUGACUUGGUAAACGUUUUAAAAAAUAAAAUUCUAGUUUUGAAAAAAAAUAUUGUUAUAUAAUUGAAAAAAAAGUAUUGCUAUAUUGAUGUAAUUAAGACUUUAAGUUGUAUAUUUAAAUUUUUUUCCCUAUGUAAUAUUUAGAGUUAUCGCAACCUUAGUCAUACAUCAUAGAAUAAAAAAUAUUCGCGCUGUUACCUAUCAAUAUUUAUAAUUUAAACCCUUAAAUGAUAUACAGAGACUAGGGGUGUACAUGGCCGAUUGGCCGGGUUGGUUCGAAUUUUUCAAAUAUCAAAUCAAAUCAUUUGUGUCGGAUUUUUAAUUUAUAAACCAAACCAAUAAAAUUCGGUUUUUUCAACCUUGGGUUUUUUUGGAUUUUUUCGGGAUUUUUGGAUGUUUUCGAUAAAGUAUUCAUACAAACAUAUAAUUUACUUGUACUUGAAAUAUUUCUUUAGUCCUACCAAAAUACAACUAUCUAAGGUGUUUCUUAAGAAAAUAACACAAAAUAUGAAGAUGUUUCUUAAAAAUAUAACACAAUAUGAUAUGAUUAAUGACACUAAAAUAUCCAACAAAAAUAAUAAUAAUGAAAUCGCGUAAAACAAAUAUUGCAAAUUAAUAAGUAAUAAUGACAAUGAUCAUAAUUUAAAAGUACUAAAUCAUGCUAAAAUUAAGUUUAAUAAGUAUUAGUUACAUUACUAAAUAUUUAAGGAAAAUUAAAAUUAGAUUAUGUAUUUUAAUUGUCUAAACCAAUGUAAAACUAAAGAACAAAUAUUCAAUUUUAUUGUCAUUCUUAGUGUUGAAUUGAUUUUCUUUUUGCAUUAGUAUUAAUUUGAUUUUGAUUUAAGUUUUAUUAUAAUUACCAACAUCUGUGGACUAUAAUAUUUAAUGGACCAUUUAGAAUUCUAAGUUUUAAACUUGAAAUAAUAUAUUAAAAGAUAAAACUAUGAAAAAGUAUAUAAGAAAUAUUUAAAAAUUAUAUCAAAGUAAAUAUUUUUAUGCAUAAAAUAAAAUUUUUAAAUUAUAUAUAUAAUGUCGGGUUAGUUUGAUCUCAGGUUGGUUUUUUUAGUUAAAACUAAACCAACCCAAAUAUAGUUAGGUUUUUUUUCAAUACCAAACCAAGUCAAACCAAACCACUAGUCAAGUUUUUUUUUUCGAUUCAACUCGAUUUAUAAUUUGAUUUGAUUUUCAAUUUUCGAUUCGAUUUUACACACCCCUAACGGAAACUUUCAUUUGCAUACCAUCUAUAUACAGUGUGUAUUUGUCUAUGAUUGAAAAGAGAAAAUUUUUAACAAGCUAUUGAGAGAGAUGUUAAAAGACCAUGUAAUUAUUUGGUUAAGAAAAUAGAAAUCACUACAUAAAAAAUGAUCUUUAGCGGCAAUUAGUUAGCAAUUGCCGCUAAAUAUUUAAAUUAGGAGAUGAUUUAAAUCUCCAAAGUCUCACUAAGGGAGAGUCCCCAGUAAAGCCUUUAAUUUUCUUCCCAAGUUUUAGCAGCCAAGGAUAGUACCCCAGCUGUUAUAGGAUAACCAUGUCAAUAAGUUCUGAGUUUCAUCAAGUACUGCUCAGCAAGAAAAAGAUGAUUAUCUAUGUGCCAUGAUAAUUUUAUAGUGGCAACAAUGCUCUUUGACAAUUAGAGUGACAAACUUCCAGAAUAGUCUCGUCUUUCUACUUUUUUAGUUACCAUUCUUUUCUGCUUAACUUCUAUUUAAAUGUCGUAUUAUUCAUAUAUUGAUAUAGGAUGCAACAUGAGUUUGAGGUGACUACAAAACAGGCCAUCUUUAUGGAUUCAAGUAUAAGUGAUACAAUUCGUACAUGCAUUGUGCUGGGUAACCAUCGUGCUGCCAUGAAAGUCAAAACAGAAUUUAAGGUCUGUACCGUCUCUUUUGGCUCACAGUGAUGAUGUACUUCUAUUUCUCUGUCUUAUUAGUGAUUUCUGCAUCCUCUUUUAGGUACAUGUGGGUUCAACUUCUAGAUUUAUCCAAUUUAAAGUGCCCUUAAUUUUAAUUUUCUUGGAUGAUUCAAGUAUCUGAAAAGCGAUGGUAUUGGCUUAAAGUUUUUGCUCUGGCAACAAUUAGGGAUUGGGAUGCCUUGGAAAAGUUUUCAAAGGAAAAAAAGCCACCAAUUGGUAAGUCCCCUUAGUAGCUUAACAGGAGGAAAUCACUGACUUUCCCUAAUAUUUCAACAGAAGAUCUGUAAAUGCAUUUCCCCCUGUGAUAUUUGUAAUAUGAUCUGGAUAUUUAUUAAUUUUCUCUUGAUUGAUAUGAUGGAUUGUUUUUAGGAUAUGAAUGUUAAGUUUAAUUCAAGUAGGUUUACUUUGGUUUUGCAUUCCAAGGAGCAGGAUAUUAGAUUGAACAGUUAGAACUUGAAUUAGAAAAUGUUAUAUGCGAUACAUAUUAGGGGUAUGACACCUGAUAUAGGGUUUCUGCAAGUGUGUCUCCCAUAUUAAUAGAGGUUUACUAUAAACCGUAAGGCGUCUACAAAAGUGGCUUUCCCUGCACAACUGCUAUAUGUAAUGCUGCCUCUUUGGAUAUCUGAAAAUUCUUUGCUGCUUUUAACCCCUACUUAAUUUGAUCAGUUCUUGAAGUUGAAAAAGUUAAUCAAUUUCUGAAGUAGCCUUCACUUAGAGUGGCAUUUUAGUUAGUUUGAGCUACACUUCCUCUUUAAUGGCUUGAUAUGCUUUAUUAUGUUUUUUGGUCAAACUAGAUUUUGUUGUAGCCAUGGUGAUCUCGCUUUCUUCUUCUUUUUGUCAACAAGUACAAUGUGAAAUGUAUUUCUGCUUCUUGUGACUGCCACUGAAAGAAGCACCUUGGACUUGUUCAUAGACAUUCCAAGCAAGUCCUUUUUUGACCAUAUACUAUAUGCUAACGAAGGCUAAUGGAUAUCUUAUAGUCAUCCGUUUUUCUCCUGUUUUUUCUCUUCUAGGUUACCGCCCAUUUGUCGAAGCAUGUGUUGAUGCAGAUGAGAAAGGCGAAGCACUAAAGUACAUACCAAAGCUGACUGAUCCUCGUGAAAGAGCAGAGGUUAGUGUUGUAUAUGUUAUGAUAUUUCCACAUUUGGUCUACAGACAUGUUUGACAUGGCAUGUAGUCCCGCAUAGUUUUAAGUUUGAGUUUUGAACUUUACCCACAUGUGGUCACUAUCCCUGCUGAGAUGAUUUUGCUAACAAAUGAAUUUACUAUAGAAAAAGUAGUUACUCCCUUUUCUUUUCACCUAUGCUUGUGAAAAGCUUGGGUACUUAUAUCUUUACUGGCUAGAAAAAAACAUUUAGCCUUAUACCUCUAAAAUAGAACUUGAAUUAGAAAAUGUUAUAUGCGAUACAUAUUAGGGGUAUGACACCUGAUAUAGGGUUUCUGCAAGUGUGUCUCCCAUAUUAAUAGAGGUUUACUAUAAACCGUAAGGCGUCUACAAAAGUGGCUUUCCCUGCACAACUGCUAUAUGUAAUGCUGCCUCUUUGGAUAUCUGAAAAUUCUUUGCUGCUUUUAACCCCUACUUAAUUUGAUCAGUUCUUGAAGUUGAAAAAGUUAAUCAAUUUCUGAAGUAGCCUUCACUUAGAGUGGCAUUUUAGUUAGUUUGAGCUACACUUCCUCUUUAAUGGCUUGAUAUGCUUUAUUAUGUUUUUUGGUCAAACUAGAUUUUGUUGUAGCCAUGGUGAUCUCGCUUUCUUCUUCUUUUUGUCAACAAGUACAAUGUGAAAUGUAUUUCUGCUUCUUGUGACUGCCACUGAAAGAAGCACCUUGGACUUGUUCAUAGACAUUCCAAGCAAGUCCUUUUUUGACCAUAUACUAUAUGCUAACGAAGGCUAAUGGAUAUCUUAUAGUCAUCCGUUUUUCUCCUGUUUUUUCUCUUCUAGGUUACCGCCCAUUUGUCGAAGCAUGUGUUGAUGCAGAUGAGAAAGGCGAAGCACUAAAGUACAUACCAAAGCUGACUGAUCCUCGUGAAAGAGCAGAGGUUAGUGUUGUAUAUGUUAUGAUAUUUCCACAUUUGGUCUACAGACAUGUUUGACAUGGCAUGUAGUCCCGCAUAGUUUUAAGUUUGAGUUUUGAACUUUACCCACAUGUGGUCACUAUCCCUGCUGAGAUGAUUUUGCUAACAAAUGAAUUUACUAUAGAAAAAGUAGUUACUCCCUUUUCUUUUCACCUAUGCUUGUGAAAAGCUUGGGUACUUAUAUCUUUACUGGCUAGAAAAAAACAUUUAGCCUUAUACCUCUAAAAUGCUUUGCAUUAGUCCAAAAUGAUUGCAUUUCCGUUUUGUAGCAAUGUGUUUAAAUGAAAGAAUACCUUUAUUGUUUUGUACAUAAACCCAGAAAGACAUACAAAUCUAUAUUGUACCUUUGUUGGUUCACAGUCAUCUGGCAGUAUUAUGUGACUUGUUCAAAUCCUGACUUGUGAACCAAGCUUGGUAUUUAAGCAUAGGGUAGUAGAGGGACUCACCCUUUAUCGUCCUAGUUUUUUUUAUCUUUGUACAUCGGCUUGGUUUCAAAGUUGGAAACAACAGAGUUCCUGGUUGAAGAUAAAAAAAAAGAAGGUACUUUUGUCUGUUUAUUUCAAUAAGCAAGUACGGCAUAGACUGGAUAUCAGAAGGAUGCAUAUCUUAAGAUAUCCGCAUUCACUUUUUAAUGUAAUAUUCCGGAUCACAGUCUGAUUGAUUUUAAUCCCUGUAGUAUCAUAAGUUCCUUCAUUUUCCACCCUAAAAGGAAGAGAGGAAGAGUAAACUGAUUCUGAAGUGUCAAUAGACGUAGGAUUAAAUAGUCAACUGUAAAGGUGCAUUGCUGUAUCAAUUAAGGUGAUGGGUGUCAUGCUUAUGAGAUCUAUGAAUCAUUAACAGGCUUAUGCUCGAAUCGGAAUGGCCAAGGAGGCUGCUGAUGCUGCUACUCAGGCUAAAGAUAAUGAAUUACUUGGGAGGUUGAAGCAGACUUUUUCUCAAAAUGCAGCCGCUUCAUCAAUAUUUGACACACUGCGAGAUCGGUUAUCCUUCCCAAGUGUUUCUUGAUGCCAGCCAUCUCCUUGAUCCCCUCCCUUUGGUGUGAAGCCUCUUGUUGUUACGCAUCUUCUAAAUUAAUAUGAUUGAGGAUUGGUAGCAUUGGAGUAAUGCUGUUCCACAGCACGAUAAAAGAAGCCCUUGGAACCCGUCCGCUGCAUAUCCUCUCUCCUUACCUGUUUUUUCUAUGUAUCCGUGGCAUUUGAGGUUGUGGAAAUGUUUGAAUCCGGCAAUGAUUCCUUGUGUGUUGUUCUACACCCUGUAAAUAGCUUGGCUGGAAAUGAUAUAUGAAAGCAUGUGCUGAUGUUUCUCCCUGAAUUGGUAACAACUUGCUAUUUAAAGCUAGUAUCAAGUGAUUGAUAGUUUGAUACUGAGUGGACAAUUCAUAUUGUGUUUGUGUAUCUGUACUGAGUGAUUUGAUGAGUAUCUAAUUUCUUUGUUUUAA